CCUGGCGGCUUUAGCGCGGUGGUCCCACCUGACCCCAUGCCGAACUUAGAAGUGAAACGCCGUAGCGCCGAUGGUAGUGUGGGGUCUCCCCAUGUGAGAGUAGGUAACUGCCAGGC
rnacentral:rRNA from 1 species